CCUACGGGGGGCAGCAGUGGGGAAUAUUGGACAAUGGGGGCAACCCUGAUCCAGCCAUGCCGCGUGUGUGAAGAAGGCCCUCGGGUUGUAAAGCACUUUCAGUGAGGAAGAACGCCUGGUGGUUAAUACCCAUCAGGAAAGACAUCACUCACAGAAGAAGCACCGGCUAACUCCGUGCCAGCAGCCGCGGUAAUACGGAGGGUGCGAGCGUUAAUCGGAAUUACUGGGCGUAAAGCGCGCGUAGGUGGCUUGAUAAGCCGGUUGUGAAAGCCCGGGGCUCAACCUGGGAACGGCAUCCGGAACUGUCAAGCUAGAGUGCAGGAGAGGAAGGUAGAAUUCCCGGUGUAGCGGUGAAAUGCGUAGAGAUCGGGAGGAAUACCAGUGGCGAAGGCGGCCUUCUGGACUGACACUGACACUGAGGUGCGAAAGCGUGGGUAGCAAACAGGAUUAGAUACCCGGGUAGUC
rnacentral:rRNA from 1 species